GAUGAACGCUGGCGGCGUGCCUAAUACAUGCAAGUCGAGCGAACAGACGAGGAGCUUGCUCCUCUGACGUUAGCGGCGGACGGGUGAGUAACACGUGGAUAACCUACCUAUAAGACUGGGAUAACUUCGGGAAACCGGAGCUAAUACCGGAUAAUAUAUUGAACCGCAUGGUUCAAUAGUGAAAGACGGUUUUGCUGUCCCUUAUAGAUGGAUCCGCGCCGCAUUGGCUAGUUGGUAAGGUAACGGCUUACCCAGGCAACGAUGCGUAGCCGACCUGAGAGGGUGAUCGGCCACACGAGAACUGAGACACGGUCCAGACUCCGACGGGAGGCAGCAGUCGGGAAUCUUCCGCAAUGGGCGAAAGCCUGACAGAGCAACGCCGCGUGAGUGAUGAAGGUCUUCGGAUCGUAAAACUCUGUUAUUAGGGAAGAACAAAUGUGUAAGUAACUAUGCACGUCUUGACGGUACCUAAUCAGAAAGCCACGGCUAACUACGUG
rnacentral:rRNA from 1 species